rnacentral:rRNA from 1 species
GACGAACGCUGGCGGCGUGCUUAACACAUGCAAGUCGAACGGAAAGGCCCGGCUUUUGUGGGUUGCUCGAGUGGCGAACGGGGGAGUAACACGUGAGUAACCUGCCCUUGACUGAGUGAUAAAUUCAGGAAACUGGGGCUAAUAUCGGAUAGGAGCUCCUGCUGCGUGGGGGGGGAUGGAAAGUUUCGGCGGUUGGGGAUGGACUCGCUGCUUAUGAGCUUGUUAGUGGGGUAGUGGCUUACCAAGUCUACGACGGGUAGCCGGCCUGAGAGGGUGACCGGGCACCUUGGGCCUGAGGUACGGCGCAGAAUGCUACGGGAGGCAGCAGUGGGGAAUAUUGCACAAUGGGCGGAAGCCUGAUGCAGCAGCGCUGCGUGCGGGAUGCCGGCCUUCGGGUUGUAAACCGCUUUCGCCUGUGACGAAGAGUGAGUGACGGUAAUGGGUAAAGAAGCAACGGCUAACUACGUG